GGGUGCGACCAUACCAGCACUAACGCACCGGAUCUCAUAAGAACUCCGAAGUUAAGCGUGCUUGGGCGAGAGUAGUACUGGGAUGGGUGACCCCCUGGGAAGUCCUCGUGUUGCACCCC
rnacentral:rRNA from 1 species